rnacentral:lncRNA from 1 species
ACCACUGUUGGGUUUGGAUAGCGCAACGAAAUAAUAGAUUUUAAAAAUUUAUUAUCAUGAAACCCAUGACACCCAAAACCUUUGAUCCAAGAUCCCUUGACUAAUUGCAACUAAUGAAUAAUUAAUAAUGCAAUUAAGAAGUAGUUUAGAUAAAUACCUCUUAUGCUAAAUUUUUAAAUCUUAAUAGACACACAAGCGUAUGCCCUCCAU